UCGUCCGUUUAGGUGGGUUUCGAUUGGUUUCUUGAUUGGGUCCCUGGCCAGUUGGUGGAGGGACGCGCAGGACACGGAGGCGGCAAAUAUGCCGAGGGGGGUGCCCUAUGCCGCGUCCCAGAUCUCGACUUCUUGCGGCAUGAAGUUCUGCAUCUUGUGUUUAAUCUCCGGCGAGAUGAUAAUUUGGGGAAGAAUGACGAGGAGGGUUCUCGGAGCCGGUGUUAUGCUUUGAUUGGUUUGGAUUUGUGGUCGCAUGCGCUCAAAAGGUUCGCAUUUGGGACCUUUCUGGACAAACAAAUCUGAUAUUAAUGAAUGAGUGGAAUAGGUUUCCUCAAAAUUGUCAUCAAAUGGCAGAUCAAGAGGGUCUUCUAGAAGUUCAGGUCUAUACAUUAUCAGAAAAUAUGACUUGCAAAAGUGAAGUUAAAAAACAUGACCCAGCAUCUGACCAAUCUAAAAUGAAUGGAUUCUCUUUUGGUGGCUCACCUGUGUGCAAUGGCAGCUUACGAAAUGUGGACUCAAGUCCUCAAAAUGGAAACCUCAAGGGAGGUGGCAAGGUUCCAGUAUGAUACUUGCUUUGCUCUUGUGGCAAGGUUUUGGUUUUGGAUGUCACUGGAAUUAUAAUGCGAUUCAGUUUUAUCAGAUUUAAACGGGGAACUUGUUUUGGCAUUUGGAGAUAUAUUAAGGAGCUUAUGGGCACCUGAAAGAACGCCAGUUUUUCCAUGGGUUUUCAAGGCAAAGCUUGCUCAUUUUUCCCCUCAGUUCAAUGGCUUCAACCAACAUGACUUACAGAUGGACUUCAUGAGGGCCUGAAUCAUGUCAAACAUAAGCCAUAUGUAGAAGCUAAGGAUGCGUCUGGUCGUCCUGAUGAAGAAGUUGCUGAUGAAUACCGGGGAAAUCAUUUAGCUCGAAAUGACUCCAUUAUAGUUGAUAUUUGCCAAGUAUUACAUCCUUGGCAAAAGGACAAGUUGGAAAGGCUUUAGUGUUCCUCUUAUGGCAAUGCUGCCAGAUAUUGUUGAUGGAUCCACCAUCCAAAAACUGUUCCUGAAGCUUAUGAAUCCAUUUAAAACAAGCAAGGAUACUGGAUCAGUUGAUGUUCAAGAUAGACCCCAAACAGUGUUUGACAGUGGGUCUACAGAUGAAGCUGUCAAAGAGACCACUGAUGGUGAGGACGAGUUCCAAUUUAACAGAUGAAAAGAGCAAAAUCAUGCAACGCAAACUAGAAAUGAACGAACCUGUUUCAUUGCCUGAAUUGCAAAAGCAUUUGUAUAUUCUAGUAUGUUGGCAGAGUAAAGCAUUAGAGCAAUAUGAUUCUAACAGAUUUACAAGUAUCGGUCUUUUCCUAGAAAACCUCAAGAUUCCUGUACUUUAUAUGCAUGCCUUGAAGCCUUCCUAAAGAAGGAACCACUGGGCCCAGAGGACAUGUCAUUAGCAUAUCAGGUUUUGCCCUUGUUGUAAGAAGCCUCAGCAAGCUAGCAAGAAACUACAUCUCUGGAGGCUGCCAGAAGUCCUAGUCAUUCAUCUGAAAAGAUUUUCAUACAGUAGGUACAUGAAAAACAAGCUGAAGACACUCGUAGACUUUUUCCAAUUCAUCACCUGGAUCUGUCAACAUAGAUUGUUGGCGUGCCCGAGCAAAGGAUUCUGGUUUCCAAUACCAUGAUGGGUAAUCCCAUAAUGCAUCUAAUUCAUUUGGUUUUCAAAAAAUGUUUAUAUGUUAACAUCUCUGAAGCUGUUUUCUGGUAGCAAAUAAUUCUGAGAUCAAGAAAGA